rnacentral:misc_RNA from 1 species
GAUGAAGAACGUAGCGAAAUGCGAUAAGUAGUGUGAAUUGCAGAAUUCAGUGAAUCAUCGAAUCUUUGAACGCACAUUGCGGCCAUAGGUAUUCCUUUGGCCAUGCCUGUUCGAGCGUCAUUUACACCCUCAAGCCUAGCUUGGUGUUGGGCGCCUGUCCCGCCGUUUUCGCGCGCGGACUCGCCUCAAAGUCAUUGGCGGCGGUCGUGCCGGCCCCCUCGCGCAGCACAUUUGCGCUUCUCGGAGGCCCGGCGGAUCCGCGCUCCAGCAAGACCUUUCACGACUUGACCUCGGAUCAGGUAGGGAUACCCGCUGAACUUAAGCAUAUCAUAAGCGGAGGA